GAUGAACGCUGGCGGCGUGCCUAAUACAUGCAAGUCGAGCGAAUGGAUUAAGAGCUUGCUCUUAUGAAGUUAGCGGCGGACGGGUGAGUAACACGUGGGUAACCUGCCCAUAAGACUGGGAUAACUCCGGGAAACCGGGGCUAAUACCGGAUAACAUUUUGAACCGCAUGGUUCGAAAUUGAAAGGCGGCUUCGGCUGUCACUUAUGGAUGGACCCGCGUCGCAUUAGCUGGUUGGUGAGGUAACGGCUCACCAAGGCAACGAUGCGUAGCCGACCUGAGAGGGUGAUCGGCCACACUGGGACUGAGACACGGCCCAGACUCCUACGGGAGGCAGCAGUAGGGAAUCUUCCGCAAUGGACGAAAGUCUGACGGAGCAACGCCGCGUGAGUGAUGAAGGCUUUCGGGUCGUAAAACUCUGUUGUUAGGGAAGAACAAGUGCUAGUUGAAUAAGCUGGCACCAUGACGGUACCUAACCAGAAAGCCACGGCUAACUACGUGCCAGCCGCCGCGGUAA
rnacentral:rRNA from 1 species